rnacentral:rRNA from 1 species
GACGAACCGUGCGAACGUUGCUCGGAAUCACUGGGCUUAAAGGGCGCGUAGGCGGGCGGGCAAGUCGGAGGUGAAAGCCCCCAGCUCAACUGGGGAAGUGCCCUCGAUACUGCCGGCCUGGAGGGAGGUAGGGGCGUGCGGAACUUCCGGUGGAGCGGUGAAAUGCGUAGAUAUCGAAAGGAACACCGGUGGCGAAGGCGGCACGCUGGGCCUCUCCUGACGCUGAGGCGCGAAAGCUAGGGUAGCAAACGGG